rnacentral:rRNA from 1 species
UACAGAGGUGGCAAGCGUUGUUCGGAAUUACUGGGCGUAAAGGGCGCGUAGGCGGCCUUCUUAGUCGGACGUGAAAUCCCUAGGCUUAACCUAGGAACUGCGUCUGAUACUGGAAGGCUCGAGUUCGGGAGAGGAAUGUGGAAUUCCAGGUGUAGCGGUGAAAUGCGUAGAUAUCUGGAGGAACACCGGUGGCGAAGGCGGCAUUCUGGACCGAAACUGACGCUGAGGCGCGAAAGCCAGGGGAGCAAACGGG